CUCAGAUGUCUGGAUAAAGGGCACAAAAAAAGUACGGAAGUACUUCUGUCUUUCACUUUGCAUCCUGUGCCAAAGUGGGCAGGGAGAAAGAGCUUGUGGUGAGGCGGGUGAAACGGAGGCCGCUGUACGUGCUCUUUCUUCAGCCACAACCCUGUGAAAGAGCAUGUUUGGUGGCAGCACGUUUCUAGGUCUCUCUCCCAGAGAUAGGCGUACUAUGUGCAUGAGCCUCCUCUUCUCGCCGCCAUCACCCUGCCUUGUGUUUUUGACGUUGAAGCCUUCUUGAAACCUGCAGCUGGCUCUCUUGUUCACUGUUGUCUUCCUCUUGUAAACGUGUCUGCUUCACCCCUGAGCCCAUGCUUUGGAUUCCGCCAUUUCUACAACACUAAAUGACUUUCGGCCAAGUAAUCAUUGCUAAUUGUUUUAUUAAUGUCUUUUAUUUAACUCUGUUGUUAAUAGUUUUUCAAAAAUACUAAGACAUAUGAUGUGCGUUGCUUCAGACAGCAUGUAUGUUCCCUUCGUUUUGGGUUGUUUUUGUGCAGUUGAUUGUGGGGUUUAAGUUUGUUUUGAAUGCAUUUGAUGCUUUAGAUGUUCCGAUAGUGUUUGGUUGCUACCUUAACGCUUCUGAAAGGGUAUUAACACACUGAUGUUAUAUUUCAUUAUUUAUUUAUUUAUUUAUUUCAGUUUUGGUUGUGAUGACUCAUGAUUCAUUUAUGGCCUAUAUAAUUCUACAUUAAUCAAAUAUAUUUUGUAAAAUACACCUUUUGUCUUUGUUUUCUAGAUUAGUACCUGAUUUCAUUGUAUAUUUUU